CAGGUCAAAAGCUACCAGCUCGCUGAGCAGCUACAAUGCUAAUCGAGGUGACUGGGUGAAAGCUAACUCAGCAGCCGUCCGUUGGUAUAGUUGUGUGCAGUUAGCUAGCAUGCUAACAGACAGGCUAACAACUCAUCCUUUGACGACAGGAGUGGGAGGAGACCGUGAACACGGGUUCAGUGAGCUGCUGCUGGACUCAUUCAAUAUAGACAAAAUAUCACAAUGUGUCACGUUACGUUUUGUGGUAUUUUUUUCUUUUGGUGUAUCUUUAGUUUGCGAUUCAGUUGUCACUACGUAGCAAGAAGUUCAUGCUUUUAAGUUUGAUAGUUUUAUAUUUAAUAAUAAAGCUUUAAUAAUAAAGCACGUCUCAAAAUCGUCCAUAUGAGUGAGAUGUAUAAAUCAGCUGUGGACAGGAGCUGGGAUUUUAUUAGGACAACUACCAGACAUAUUUUUUUAUUAUAUUAUACUAUUAAACAAAAACAUAGUUGGAUUUUUUUUUCUUAUGAUCACAAAACAAAUAUCCGUAACAAACCUAUGUAUUAAUGAAGAAAAUACUCAAAAUAGUAGUAAAAAAAUGCAAAAAAAAAAAAAAGAUUAAUAGAUAAAAUAAAUGUGAUCAGUUUCCAAGAUGAGAACACUGAUAUUAUUUAAUUAUGUAUAGCAGUGAUUAUCUUAUCUGUGGAAUAUCUCAAAACAUACAAGUAUAGUAACUUUAUUAGCAAUGUCAUUAAUUACCACAUAGUAAUAUAGAUUAUUUUAUAGAUGUAAAAAAAUAUAUAUUCCUAUUUGCUAUUCAGUUUAGUAGACUGAAUAACUGAAGCAGACUAUAUUUGUCGUUACACAUGAAAACAAACGGCAUCCAGGUGUUUAAUAUGACCUUCUGACAGUUAGCAAGUGUUCGCAGACCCACAGCUAUCUGUUUAACUAGCGUUUUAAUGUUUGGUUUGGAUUAGACAUUGUAGUUUUAUCGGGGAAUGAUGUGACCAAAACCAAAUUGAUUAAAUGGAAUGCUAAAUAUUUGUAAUCUGAUUCUGAUAUUUUCGUCUGUUCAUUUUAUAAUACAUUGAAUGGGGUAAAAAGAUUUCUCUCUUCUUUUGAAUUAAAAAAAAAACUUUUUAUAGAGACAUUACUUAUGGUCUCUCAGUUCACACAUUCAUUGCAAAGUAAACAGUCAGUGUUCACAUCUGUUACCAAGCAAUUGUAUAUUGUUACUUUUUGUUUUUAAUGAUUUUUUUAUGGUUUAGAACACUGUUACAAAGAACGGCAAUGCAGAUAGAUGAUGGCUAGCUUAAUCUAAUGCUACAUACACAUUAGGUCUAAUCCAGGUCUCUGGUAAAUACUGUACAUUAAUUGCUUGAUCAUUAAUGGUUUUAUUUUCACUGCGCACUUUCGGUUUAAGAGAUCUAGCAGUCCUAGCAUCAGAUCAAAGGUGCUGAGUGUGACUUCUGUUAUGAUCAUGUUAUGUUAGACUACUGUGUCUUCUUGUUCUAGUCAGGCAGCAGACACAUUUUCAAUAUGUAUACACCUGAUUAACUCAAUUAUCUGCUCCAUGGCCUUGGCUUGUCACCAAUUAACUAAAUCUUUUCUGAGACUACAAGUUAAACAGCAAGAAACGCCUAUCACAGUCUAGAGCCUUGCCCUCAAAACUACUACACUAGUCUAUAAAAACAACAGUUUUUGGAGCAACACCUACACAUCCAGCAGUUCAGCAACCACAUCCUACUGUAGCAUUAUGGAUAUUAAAUGGUCACCUAAUGGACACCAACAAACUGCUACUAUACUGUGCACUAAAAUGCACAUUGGUCAUAUAAUGCAUCUGCUGACAUUUGCACUCAGGGUCUUUAACUGUACUAAUGCACACAUUUGCAGUCACCUCUGACUGUGCACUUCCAAUUCAAUCUACAUUUUUACCACAUUGACCUCAUACUUAACACACCAUAGCUUUAGGAUGGUUUACUGCUAAAUUAUGUUUGUUUUAAUUUCGUAUUGUGUUCACAACCUACGCACCUUGGUCUAUAGUAAAAGCAAUUCGUUCUUUUGUAUACUGUGUAUGUAAAACAAAUGACAAUAAAACAUAAGUUGUCUUGUAA